rnacentral:tRNA from 1 species
GCCUGGGUGGCUCUGUCGCUUAAGCGUCUGACUUCGACUCAGGUCAUGAUCUCAUGGUUCGUGGGUUCAAGCCCCACAUCAGGCU